rnacentral:rRNA from 1 species
ACUGCUCAGUAACACGUGGACAACCUACCCUUGGGUCCGGCAUAAUCCUGGGAAACUGGGUAUAAUUCCAGAUAGGUCACAGAUGCUGGAAUGCACUGUGGCCGAAAGCUCCGGCGCCCAAGGAUGGGUCUGCGGCCUAUCAGGGUUGUAGUGGGUGUAACGGACCUACUAGCCUACGACGGGUACGGGUUGUGAGAGCAAGAGCCCGGAGAUGGAUUCUGAGACACGAAUCCAGGCCCUACGGGGUGCAGCAGGCGCGAAAGCUUUACAAUGCGGGAAACCGUGAUAAGGGAAUCUCGAGUGCCAGCAUAUAAUGUUGGCUGUCCAGAUGCCUAAAAAGCAUCUGUUAGCAAGGGCCGGGCAAGACCGGUGCCAGCCGCCGCGGUAACACCGGCGGCCCGAGUGGUAACCGCUUUUAUUGGGUCUAAAGGGUCUGUAGCCGGCCAAGUAAGUCCCUUGGGAAAUCUGGCAGCUUAACUGUCAGGCUGCUAGGGGAUACUGCUAGGCUUGGGACCGGGAGAGGUGAGAGGUACCUUGGGGGUAGGGGUGAAAUCUUGUGAUCCUCGGGGGACCACCAGUGGCGAAGGCGUCUCACCAGAACGGGUCCGACGGUAAGGGACGAAAGCUAGGGGCACGAACCGGAUUAGAUACCCGGGUAGUCCUAGCCGUAAACGAUGCUCGCUAGGUGUCAGUCACGGUGCGACCGUGAUUGGUGCCGUAGGGAAGCCGUGAAGCGAGCCACCUGGGAAGUAUGGCCGCAAGGCUGAAACUUAAAGGAAUUGGCGGGGGAGCAC